rnacentral:rRNA from 1 species
AGAGUUUGAUCCUGGCUCAGAACGAACGCUGGCGGCGUGCUUAACACAUGCAAGUCGAACGAGAAAGAGUUCCUUCGGGAGCUUGAGUAGAGUGGCGCACGGGUGAGUAACGCGUAGAUAAUCUACCCUUAUAUUUGGAAUAACUGGGCGAAAGCCCAGCUAAUACCGAAUACGCUUUUCUGUCCGCGAGGGCAGGGGAGGAAAGAUGGCCUCUGACAUAAGCUAUCGUAUAAGGAUGAGUCUGCGUACCAUUAGCUAGUAGGUGGGGUAAUGGCCCACCUAGGCGACGAUGGUUAGCGGGUCUGAGAGGAUGAUCCGCCACACUGGAACUGGAACACGGACCAGACUCCUACGGGAGGCAGCAGUGAGGAAUUUUGCGCAAUGGGGGAAACCCUGACGCAGCGACGCCGCGUGGGUGAUGAAGGCUUUCGAGUCGUAAAGCCCUGUCAGGUGGGAAGAAAUCUCAUCGUGCUAAUAUCGCGAUGAAUUGACGGUACCACUAAAGGAAGCACCGGCUAACUCCGUGCCAGCAGCCGCGGUAAUACGGAGGGUGCAAGCGUUGUUCGGAAUUACUGGGCGUAAAGGGCGCGUAGGCGGCGCUGUAAGUCAGAUGUGAAAGUCCACGGCUCAACCGUGGAAGUGCAUCUGAUACUGCAGCGCUUGAGUAUCGGAUGGGAAAGUAGAAUUCCCGGUGUAGAGGUGAAAUUCGUAGAUAUCGGGAGGAAUACCGGUGGCGAAGGCGACUUUCUGGACGAAUACUGACGCUGAUGCGCGAAAGCGUGGGGAGCAAACAGGAUUAGAUACCCUGGUAGUCC